CACUAUCGUUAACUGAAUACAUAGGUUAACGAGGCGAACCGGGGGAACUGAAACAUCUAAGUACCCCGAGGAAAAGAAAUCAACCGAGAUUCCCCCAGUAGCGGCGAGCGAACGGGGAGCAGCCCAGAGUCUGAAUCAGCUUGUGUGUUAGUGGAACGGUCUGGAAAGUCCGACGGUACAGGGUGAUAGUCCCGUACACCAAAAUGCACAGGCUGUGAACUCGAAGAGUAGGGCGGGACACGUGGUAUCCUGUCUGAAUAUGGGGGGACCAUCCUCCAAGGCUAAAUACUCCUGACUGACCGAUAGUGAACCAGUACCGUGAGGGAAAGGCGAAAAGAACCCCGGCGAGGGGAGUGAAAAAGAACCUGAAACCGUGUACGUACAAGCAGUGGGAGCACCUUCGGGUGUGACUGCGUACCUUUUGUAUAAUGGGUCAGCGACUUAUAUUCUGUAGCAAGGUUAACCGUAUAGGGGAGCCGCAGGGAAACCGAGUCUUAACUGGGCGUUAAGUUGCAGGGUAUAGACCCGAAACCCGGUGAUCUAGCCAUGGGCAGGUUGAAGGUUGGGUAACACUAACUGGAGGACCGAACCGACUAAUGUUGAAAAAUUAGCGGAUGACUUGUGGCUGGGGGUGAAAGGCCAAUCAAACCGGGAGAUAGCUGGUUCUCCCCGAAAGCUAUUUAGGUAGCGCCUCGUGAACUCAUCUUCGGGGGUAGAGCACUGUUUCGGCUAGGGGGUCAUCCCGACUUACCAACCCGAUGCAAACUACGAAUACCGAAGAAUGUUAUCACGGGAGACACACGGCGGGUGCUAACGUCCGUCGUGAAGAGGGAAACAACCCAGACCGCCAGCUAAGGUCCCAAAGUCAUGGUUAAGUGGGAAACGAUGUGGGAAGGCACAGACAGCCAGGAUGUUGGCUUAGAAGCAGCCAUCAUUUAAAGAAAGCGUAAUAGCUCACUGGUCGAGUCGGCCUGCGCGGAAGAUGUAACGGGGCUAAACCAUGCACCGAAGCUGCGGCAGCGACACUAUGUGUUGUUGGGUAGGGGAGCGUUCUGUAAGCCUGCGAAGGUGUGCUGUGAGGCAUGCUGGAGGUAUCAGAAGUGCGAAUGCUGACAUAAGUAACGAUAAAGCGGGUGAAAAGCCCGCUCGCCGGAAGACCAAGGGUUCCUGUCCAACGUUAAUCGGGGCAGGGUGAGUCGACCCCUAAGGCGAGGCCGAAAGGCGUAGUCGAUGGGAAACAGGUUAAUAUUCCUGUACUUGGUGUUACUGCGAAGGGGGGACGGAGAAGGCUAUGUUAGCCGGGCGACGGUUGUCCCGGUUUAAGCAUGUAGGCUGGUUAUCCAGGCAAAUCCGGAUAAUCAAGGCUGAGGUGUGAUGACGAGGCACUACGGUGCUGAAGUAACAAAUGCCCUGCUUCCAGGAAAAGCCUCUAAGCAUCAGGUAACAUCAAAUCGUACCCCAAACCGACACAGGUGGUCAGGUAGAGAAUACCAAGGCGCUUGAGAGAACUCGGGUGAAGGAACUAGGCAAAAUGGUGCCGUAACUUCGGGAGAAGGCACGCUGGUGUGUAGGUGAAGCCCCUGCGGGUGGAGCUGAGACCAGUCGAAGAUACCAGCUGGCUGCAACUGUUUAUUAAAAACACAGCACUGUGCAAACACGAAAGUGGACGUAUACGGUGUGACGCCUGCCCGGUGCCGGAAGGUUAAUUGAUGGGGUUAUCCGUAAGGAGAAGCUCUUGAUCGAAGCCCCGGUAAACGGCGGCCGUAACUAUAACGGUCCUAAGGUAGCGAAAUUCCUUGUCGGGUAAGUUCCGACCUGCACGAAUGGCGUAAUGAUGGCCAGGCUGUCUCCACCCGAGACUCAGUGAAAUUGAACUCGCUGUGAAGAUGCAGUGUACCCGCGGCAAGACGGAAAGACCCCGUGAACCUUUACUAUAGCUUGACACUGAACAUUGAGCCUUGAUGUGUAGGAUAGGUGGGAGGCUUUGAAGCGUGGACGCCAGUCUGCGUGGAGCCAACCUUGAAAUACCACCCUUUAAUGUUUGAUGUUCUAACGUUGGCCCCUUACCGGGGUUGCGGACAGUGUCUGGUGGGUAGUUUGACUGGGGCGGUCUCCUCCCAAAGCGUAACGGAGGAGCACGAAGGUUAGCUAAUCCUGGUCGGACAUCAGGAGGUUAGUGCAAUGGCAUAAGCUAGCUUGACUGCGAGCGUGACGGCGCGAGCAGGUGCGAAAGCAGGUCAUAGUGAUCCGGUGGUUCUGAAUGGAAGGGCCAUCGCUCAACGGAUAAAAGGUACUCCGGGGAUAACAGGCUGAUACCGCCCAAGAGUUCAUAUCGACGGCGGUGUUUGGCACCUCGAUGUCGGCUCAUCACAUCCUGGGGCUGAAGUAGGUCCCAAGGGUAUGGCUGUUCGCCAUUUAAAGUGGUACGCGAGCUGGGUUUAGAACGUCGUGAGACAGUUCGGUCCCUAUCUGCCGUGGGCGCUGGAGAAUUGAGGGGGGCUGCUCCUAGUACGAGAGGACCGGAGUGGACGCAUCACUGGUGUUCGGGUUGUCAUGCCAAUGGCACUGCCCGGUAGCUAAAUGCGGAAGAGAUAAGUGCUGAAAGCAUCUAAGCACGAAACUUGCCCCGAGAUGAGUUCUCCCUGAGACUUUAAGUCUCCUGAAGGAACGUUGAAGACGACGACGUUGAUAGGCCGGGUGUGUAAGCGCAGCGAUGCGUUGAGCUAACCGGUACUAAUGAACCGUGAGGCUUAACCUU
rnacentral:rRNA from 1 species